rnacentral:ncRNA from 2 species
UUAACGGAUGGGGAUGGGGUUCCCCCGAUAACCGCCGAAAGGCUGAUGACUCCUGCGAACUC